rnacentral:rRNA from 1 species
GACGUAGGGUCCAAGCGUUGUCCGGAUUUACUGGGCGUAAAGAGCACGUAGGCGGCUUGUUAAGUGUGAAGUGAAAUCUCCAGGGCUCAACCCGGAAACCGCUUCGCAUACAGGCAAGCUAGAGGAAUGCAGAGGUAAGUGGAAUUCCUGGUGUAGCGGUGAAAUGCAUAGAUAUCAGGAGGAACACCCAUGGCGAAGGCAGCUUACUGGGCAUUAUCUGACGCUGAGGUGCGAAAGCGUGGGGAGCAAACAGG